rnacentral:rRNA from 1 species
UUCCUGAGCCUUGUACACACCGCCCGUCAAGCCACGAAAGCCGGAAGUACCCAAAGUCGCGUACCUAACCGCAAGGAAGGAAGCGCCUACGGUAAGUUCGGUGAUUGGGACU